ACUGAGUGGCGAACGGGUGAGUAACACGUGGGUGAUCUGCCCUGCACUUCGGGAUAAGCCUGGGAAACUGGGUCUAAUACCGGAUAGGACGAUGGUUUGGAUGCCAUUGUGGAAAGUUUUUCGGUGUGGGAUGAGCUCGCGGCCUAUCAGCUUGUUGGUGGGGUAAUGGCCUACCAAGGCGUCGACGGGUAGCCGGCCUGAGAGGGUGUACGGCCACAUUGGGACUGAGAUACGGCCCAG
rnacentral:rRNA from 1 species